rnacentral:lncRNA from 1 species
CUACAUCAAGAAGCCAAGGCAAGGUGGAGUCGUACACGAGAGCCCUAGGAGGAUUCUCCAAGAGUUUCAUGUCUUGUAUCAACUCCGGUAAGUGGUUUUUGAUGCUGGUGUAUACUCUGUCGAUGUAAUCAUCGAGGUCUUGUAACGGGUCCUUGCCUUCUUGGGAGCCACUGGGGAUGGGGAAGACACUGAUUGAGUCAUUCUCUGUUUUGUAAGGCGGAGAGGGUUUGUCGGAGACGAGGACAAGAGUGGACGUAAGGCCCUUUGAGGCUAAGCGUUUGCAGAAUUGGAACAUUGGAGUAAGGUGGCCUUGUACAGGGAAAGGCAAGACGAUAACAUGAGAUCCGUGUAUCAUUUUUGUUUUUCUCUUAUUGGUUUAGAUGAUUUUUAUUGGGGUGUGUUUAACUGCUUAUAUGGAGCCAAUAAGAUUGGAUUAGAUUAUUUUUAUUGGACUACGUCUUUGUUGGGACGAUUCCUUGGACUAGAAUCCAAGAAGGGUAAGAUUUCUUGUUGACACUACCGGUACGGACUAACGUGGCGCCUAAAGCGCACCCAAAAAAUAAUGCCACUAAUAAUAGCUAAGAUUUUUAUAUAGUUAAAAUAUUUAAGAAAUACUAUUAAAAUUAUAUUAUUUUCAAACAAAUAAAAUACAAAACAUCAAAAUAUUAUUUUUGAAGAAAAAUAUUCUAGCUUUUUUUAGAAAAUAAUUUCCUCAUUUCACAUAAUCAAGUUUUUAGUUAUAUCUAUAUCAUCUAUCCUAGAUUAUAUUUUAUAAAUUCUAUGAGAAUUUUGUUUCUACAUAAGCAACUAAAAUUAAAAUUGGCCAUAAAAAAUUAUUUUGUGUUUAGACAACAAUCAUUUAUUAUUUUCAGCAUGUCAGCCAUUUUUGUAAUUGCAUUUGUCAAUAUUUCUAAUUAUAAUCAUAUUUUCAGUAUUUUUUUUAUAAAUCCUAAAGUUAUCAUCUAUUUAGUAGAAAAACAUAUGAUACAAUCAUGUAUAUAUCAAUUUCACCUAGUUUAUUUUUUUUUUAAUUUCAAAAGUUUAUAAAAUAUGAUAAGAACUUACCAAAAAAGAGAUAAAAGUACUUAAUUAGAAGAUACAACUAUUUUGACAAAGAACUAAUCACAAUAAAAUGUGUAAUAUGAGAAACUAAUAAUUAGUUUUAUUGUUUUAAGAAGAAAGAUCGUUAUGGUUGAUGGAUUAGAGUUAAUUUUGGUAAGAUUGUUACUCAUUUUUUUUUGUUUUUUAACAAUUAUGGAGUGUAAAGAAAUAGAGAAGAGAUUUUUUUUUUUUUUGUCAAACUUUGUGUAAAAAGUAGAAAGAAACAAAAAAUGAAAGGGGCUAAUAAAUGCUAUUACCAAAAUCCUCCUUAAAAUCCCCUAUAUAUUAUUUGUGAAACAUUACAACUUUUUUUUAUUGCCACAUGUCAUCAUUAUGAUGAUUCUUAGAAUUACUAGAGAAAUAGGUUGGUCCAUCUAAUUAUAUAAUAAUUUUUUUAUUAAACUAACCAUAAAUUCAUUAUUAAUGUCAUUUAUUAUUUCUUUAAAUAAAAAUUACGGAAUUGCCUAAUGUGGAAAAAGUAUAUAUGACAAUUAAUGAUUUAGAAUAAUAAAGAUCUGAUAAAAAAUGUAUCUUCUAUCAAAUUUGUUUAAUUUAAAACUAUUAAAAUAACUUUUAAAAAAACACAAUAACCAUAUUAUAAAAAUUUAGAUUUUUCUGUAUAUUUUAUAUUUUGAAUUUUAAAAAAUGACUAUAAAUUACUAAAACUGUUAAAAGUCUCACAUUCAAAUUUUACGAUCCAUGGUUUAAAAUUUUUGUUAUGACAAAAUACAAAUGAUUACAAAAUCAUAUAAGUAAAAGUCUAAUUUAAUUAAUCAUUAAGAUUUAAAAUAUAUAUGUAUAUAUAUCAUUCUAAAUUAAACUAUAAACCAUAUUGAAUGAAUAAAUAUUUUAGUUUCAAAAUUUACUUUGAAUAAUUUUUUUGAUAAAAAUUUUGAACUAACAAUGAUAAUUUUUUUUAAAAUUAUCAAUUACUAAAAUUAUUAAUCCCACAAUGAAAAUUUUGUUAUCAGUAAUUUAAAGUUUUUGCUAUUAAAGAUACACAUGAUCAAAAAAACAUAUGAGUAGAAAGCAUUAUUUAAAAUAAAAUAAAUAGACAUUAAUUUUAAAAAUAUACUAUGUAUGUUAAUAUCAUUGUUUUUGAUGCUGGUGUAUACUCUGUCGAUGUAAUCAUCGAGGUCUUGUAACGGGUCCUUGCCUUCUUGGGAGCCACUGGGGAUGGGGAAGACACUGAUUGAGUCAUUCUCUGUUUUGUAAGGCGGAGAGGGUUUGUCGGAGACGAGGACAAGAGUGGACGUAAGGCCCUUUGAGGCUAAGCGUUUGCAGAAUUGGAACAUUGGAGUAAGGUGGCCUUGUACAGGGAAAGGCAAGACGAUAACAUGAGAUCCGUGUAUCAUUUUUGUUUUUCUCUUAUUGGUUUAGAUGAUUUUUAUUGGGGUGUGUUUAACUGCUUAUAUGGAGCCAAUAAGAUUGGAUUAGAUUAUUUUUAUUGGACUACGUCUUUGUUGGGACGAUUCCUUGGACUAGAAUCCAAGAAGGGUAAGAUUUCUUGUUGACACUACCGGUACGGACUAACGUGGCGCCUAAAGCGCACCCAAAAAA